rnacentral:rRNA from 1 species
CCUACGGGAGGCAGCAGUGGGGAAUAUUGGACAAUGGGGGAAACCCUGAUCCAGCGACGCCGCGUGAGUGAAGAAGUAUUUCGGUACGUAAAGCUCUAUCAGCAGGGAAGAAAAUGACGGUACCUGACUAAGAAGCACCGGCUAACUACGUGCCAGCAGCCGCGGUAAUACGUAGGGGGCAAGCGUUACCCGGAUUUACUGGGUGUAAAGGGAGCGUAGACGGGAGUGCAAGUCAGGAGUGAAAUGCCGGGGCGCAACCCCGGAACUGCUUUGGAAACUGUGAAGCUGGAGUGCAGGAGAGGUAAGUGGAAUUCCUGGUGUAGCGGUGAAAUGCGUAGAUAUCAGGAGGAACACCGGCGGCGAAGGCGGCUUACUGGACUGUAACUGACGUUGAGGCUCGAAGGCGUGGGGAGCAAACAGGAUUAGAUACCCUAGUAGUC